CAAAGUAAAAUUUAUUCGUUUUGUGAAAGCACAAUUAUUAGGUUGAGUUUGAUGUGCGCAUGCGCACUAAAUGAAAUGCAAAUUUGGCGGGCCGUAUUUCUGCCAUAAUCUGAACUGCUUCUCAGAGCGACAACUCGACAAGUAAGGAAAAACAACAUCAACAAAAAUCAUUGUAUAUUAAUUAGUUCAGUCGUUUUCUCCUUGUACAUUUAAACGAGGAUUUCCUUCACUGCCUGGACACAAUUUUCAGACGACGUUAGUCGGUCCACUACCCCCAGCAGCAGUAAGUUUGUUUGGAAAAGAGGAACUAACCGCCGCCCGGAGACCGACAGCAGCAGCUUAAAGACACUCUUCGGUUUCUGCUCUGCAUCCUGUCUGGAAGCCUUUGACUAACUUUUGAUAAAUGCAGACUUCUUGAGAGUUACAACAAUUACUUUGGAGGCAAAGUUUUUUGCACUGUUGGACAAACACUCCACCAAACUUCUAGAGGUCAUCAGGAGCAAUGGAGGGCGUGUGAAAGAGCAGACCACCAACAUCUUAGAAGUUCUGGAUGAAGGAUUGUUGACAUUACCAUCAGAGGAGAAGCCAUCCUAAAAUCUCUGAUCUACUAGGGUGAAUCUUUUGAGCACCUCAUUAAAGAACACCAGGUAAGGUUAUCCACCUCUCAACUAUGACACUCUUUUAUGAUGUAGGAAAUGGAACAUGGCACUGUAUGGGUUAAGAUCACUGCCAACAAGAAACAUAUUCAUAAAGAUAAAGUUGUGCACAAAUACUAAGACUUUGUGCACAACUUUGCCAAAAAAAAUGAAUACAACAUUUAGUUUGCAUUUGACAUUUCUGUUUUAAAUUUUCUUUGCUUUGAAUACAACUUUUGCUUAACGUUAACAGUCAAAAAUAUGUUAUGGGGUCACAGGCAUAUGUAUCUAAUCCCGAAACAUUGAUAAAGCAAAGUGAGCAUACACAUUGAGGCUUAUUUAUUUAACUAAAACAAAGUUAUACCUUUUAGAG